AUUAAAUAAUGUUUAUGAAAGAUAUAGACCGUCUUUAGCGCUCGUGGUAAAAAACUGAACGAUUGGUGUCAAAGAUCUUAAAUUCAAAUUCUAGUUAUUUUAUAUUUUCAGUUCAUUUCUAAAUAAAAAAAAUAAAGCGGAUAAUAUAUUACCUUUCUCUUUUUUUUUUAAAAAAAAAAGUUUAUGAUUUUAUUAGCUGUAUUUUUUUGA
rnacentral:lncRNA from 1 species